rnacentral:rRNA from 1 species
ACGCUGGCGGCGCGCUUAAUACAUGCAAGUCGAACGAGAAGCCAGAGCUUGCUCUGGUGGAAAGUGGCGAACGGGUGAGUAACACGUGAAAAACCUGCCCCAAAGAUUGGGAUAAGCCUUGGAAACGAGGUCUAAUACCAAAUACCUUCUUUUUAACACAUGUUAAAAAGAAGAAAUGCUCCGGCGCUUUGGGAUGGUCUCGCGAUCUAUCAGCUUGUUGGUGAGGUAACGGCUCACCAAGGCAUCGACGGAUAGCUGGUCUGAGAGGAUGUCCAGCCACAUUGGAACUGAGACACGGUCCAAACUCCUACGGGAGGCAGCAGUAGGGAAUCUUGCACAAUGAGGGAAACCUUGAUGCAGCGACGCCGCGUGCGGGACGAAGGCCCUAGGGUUGUAAACCGCUUUCAGUAGGGACGAAAGUGACGGUACCUACAGAAGAAGCCCCGGCCAACUAUGUG